rnacentral:lncRNA from 1 species
GACCAAGACCCAAUAAAAGACAAAAGGAAUUAAAAACAAUGCCACAAUUUUAAAAGCUCAAACAAACUCUAACAAAAAAAUAUGUAAUACAACUAAUUUCUACAGUACAACAGAUUGUAACCGUCAGAUUUAUGAGAAGUCAUUACUAUCGUCUAAACCUUUACCGGAGUGUCACCGACUACCAAAAAUCAACGCCGACCAUCAGAAACCGCUUGAAAGAUUGUCGUCGAGGAUGACACGAAAGAAAUAGAUAGCUUUCCUUCCAUUAUAGAUGUCUCUGUCGCCAACUCAACGAUUUGCACCCAUGCUCAUAUAAGAGACCACAUCUCCGGAUUACUAACCCAAUGAGGUAAAACAAGGAGGUAGAUGAAAGAAAAAGAAAAAAAAUAUAACUUAAAAACAACUUUCUUUGCAUUCAAAAGGAACAAGUCGGAAUCUGAAAAUUAAAUCUAAAAAAAAAGCUCUAAAAAAAGAAAAAAGAGGCUCCAAACAACGAGAAAACAUGCCCAAGAAGAAAAACAAACCAUAGAUCAAAGCAACAAAAUAAGGAAAGAAACGUGAAGUAAAGAAGCAAUGGAGAAGAGACGAAGAAGAAGAAGAGAGAAGGAAGAGAGUUUCAAGAAAAGAAAGAGAAGAAAGAAGGAAUACAUACCAGAAGACUAUGAAACUGCUAGUUUGCUUCUUUCUAGGAUAAUGUUUGAAUGUCAUUUGGUCGCAUGAGCUAGCUAGCUACCUCUGUCCUUGCUAAUACCAAAAUAAUCAGACAGGUCCAAUGAUCGAUACUCUGGUCUGGCACUCCAUGACACGAGUGACGAGAUAAUCAAAUAUAUUGAAUAUAAUUUGACCAAUCAAAAAUCAUAAAGACACAAUCUUUCUGGAGGGAGAGGCUGCUGCUGGAAAGAGCAAUUAAGAGGAGAUUGAUUAUACAUGGUUUUGUCUGUUCAGGAAUUGGGAAAACUGAAAAUGGAUCUGCAACGGAGUCGACAUAUGUUU